rnacentral:misc_RNA from 1 species
AAGUCGUAACAAGGUUUCCGUAGGUGAACCUGCGGAAGGAUCAUUAAUAAACGGCGAAGCUCGCAAGAGCCUAGCUUUAUAUUAUUCCAUAACACCUGUGAACCAUUUGCCUUCUUGUCAUGAGAGGGUACAACCUUACAAACAUAACUGUGAUGAAUGUAAUCUAUUAUAACGAUAAUACAACUUUCAACAACGGAUCUCUUGGCUCUC